rnacentral:misc_RNA from 1 species
AAUUAAAUAGAAGCGCCAGAACUGAUUGGGACGAAAAUACUUGAAGGUGAAAUCCCUGAAAAGUAAACAGUCAGUUGACGAGGAGGAGAUUAAUCGAAGUUUCGGCGGGAGUCUCCCGGCUGUGCAUGCAGUCGUUAAGUCUUACUUACAAAUCA